GGCCGCCUUCUUCCUCCUUCUUCGUCUCCAAAUCUAGAGAUGAAGAAGGGUCCCUUCUUCGUCUCCAGAUCUGGAGACGAAGAAGGGAAUGAUUUUUUUUU
rnacentral:pre_miRNA from 10 species